AAAGUUGAAAAGUACUUUGAAGAGAGGGUAAACAGUGCGUGAAACCGCUCAGAGGUAAACAGGUGGAGUUGAACUGAAAGCUGCGGGGAUUCAGCUGGUGAGCUUGGCUUGGGCUUGGACAGAUUGGUCAGCCAACGGAGUCCGCUUAGCUGUGGGUUCUCGCUCUUCGGAGUGGGGAUGUGCGUUGCACUUAUCAAGUGUUGUGCGCUCCGAUGGUUUGAUGGCCUGCUCGCCAGUGCACUUUCCCGUAGUGAUCACCACGACCGGCGCUGUUGCCUUUCUACUGUGAACAAACCGUUCAGGUCUGGUUUUCGGACUGAAUCUGGCGGGAUGGCAGGUAGCUCGUUGGUUGGCUUGCCAGCCAAUGGGUGUAAUGAGCUGUUUGCAGUAGAUUUGUGCAAUGCGUCGGGGACGGCGGCUUCUGGCAUGGGCGUGCGUGUCCUUUGCGGCAGAGUCGGGUCUGAUUGGCAUGUUACUCACAAAAGUGGGUCUGUCAGUGGCUCGGUUCUGUUCAGUGAGGGUUCGCGUGCGUGUUGCCGUUCAAGGGCCUAGAGUCUGUGGUGUUGUAGUAAACGAUCCACCUGACCCGUCUUG
rnacentral:rRNA from 1 species